rnacentral:rRNA from 1 species
UACGUAGGGGGCAAGCGUUGUCCGGAUUUAUUGGGCGUAAAGAGCGUGUAGGCGGCCAGGUAGGUCCGUUGUGAAAACUCGAGGCUCAACCUCGAGACGUCGGCGGAAACCCUCUGGCUAGAGUCCGGAAGAGGAGAGUGGAAUUCCUGGUGUAGCGGUGAAAUGCGCAGAUAUCAGGAGGAACACCCGUGGCGAAAGCGGCUCUCUGGGACGGUACUGACGCUGAGACGCGAAAGCAUGGGGAGCGAACAGG